CUAAAUCAGAUCCUUAUCAUUGCCUCGGUGAUAAAUAGAGGCCUGGGAGCCCACAGCCAGGUUAUUUAUUUAGUGCCUCUGUGGGUCAUGUUUUAUACAGCCUGGGCUUCUUGUCAGGUCUUUGAGGAUCCAGCUUAGGUUGCACUCAGGAACUAAAACCCAAAGCCCCUUAAAUAAUGUUAACUUAACAGCUGACGUUUUUAUGAAAUAAGUCUGUGCAGAUGCGUGGAGGAAAGGGACAGCACAGCAAGCUGGAGGUGGAGUCUUCUCCUGGAGGAAUUUUUAAAAGAAAAGAAAUUAUGAGCGAGACGCUAUGCACCUGAAGUUGGUGAACAAAGCACAGAGGGAGCAGGAAGAAGAAGAGGAGAGGAGGUGGAGGAGGAAGAGAAGAAUUUUGCAAGCAUUGACUCUUGUACAUCUCUUUAUAUGUCUAGGAACCAAGUGCUUGUAUGUCAUCACUGUCUUGUGAAUCUAGAAACUGUGCAAGUGAAGCAACUUACCUAAAGUCACAUAGAGCCCACCUGAGAGUCAAACCCAGGCAGCCUGGCUCAUGGCCACGGUCCUUCUCAAAGGCUCUUGCGGCAGGCAGAUGGAUGCACCAUGUUUGGGAUGUAUGGUUACCUUUCCAGGAGCCAUGCUCAAAAGGGACCUGUGCUGUUCUUUGUUGAAUUUCUCAGGGUCUGUCCUUGUCACUAAUGCCUUUAUGUUUGACUUCAUGUUUGGUGCUCUCCUCUUCAUGAUCUGCUGUGGACUUCUGUCCAUCUUUCUGCUCUGCAUUCCUGACUACUCAUCCGGACAGGUGUGACCCCUCACAUCCUGUUCUAGUGGUCUCUCUUCUCUUUUUGUUUUCUGGUUCCUGAUCCUUGGCUACCUUGACCCUCCACUGCCUGCCUCUGCAGAAAGCAGCAUGGCCACUGUCUAGUGAGACAGUUGGGUUCCCAGUGGCUACGUGCUGAGAGAGUGAAUAAAUGACAGUGUGCCAAGACUAUGUGCCUGGUUCACUGGGGCUAGCUCCUGCUGGAGACAAUGUCCAGGCACAUUCCCUUGAAAGGAGCAGCAGCCAGAAAAAUACAGAAGGCUAAAAAGAGUUUUUCUCUGAGUCCCCAGUGGGAUUGCAAAAUAGUUUAAGUCCCUUCUAGUUGCAGGGUUCUACCUCUGGCAUUUAAAAAGCAUUGAUUAAAUAGAUAGAGAGGAAAAAUACUAGUGAAAAUAAAGGUAGAAGUGAAUAGAAUGAAAAAUGUGUACUGUAAUUACAUGAAAAUGUUGUCUAUUUAGCCAGAGACAGGGAAAGAAUAUUAAAACAAGCAGCAUGGCAUCACUUAGGGUUUUGUAAUUGUAUCCUUUUAAAAUCCACUUCAUCUGAAUGAGAAUGGCCACCAUUAAGGAAGCAAAUAUCUAAUAUUUCAUCUCAUACACACAAUCCAAAAAUGUUUAGAUCCAUAUUCAUAUGACUGUAAGUCAUGAAAGGGGAAGGUGACCAUUGGAAGGAGGGAGGGAGAACAAAAUAAGAUAUUAGGAGGUUCAUGUGAUUAAAACAUGUAGGAAGGUUUCCUGGUAACAUUUGUUAUUUUGUGAUAUUAAGCAUACUCACAGAAAGAGGACUGUACCUGUCAGGGUGUAUUGCUGUGCAUGUGUGGAUGCACUUGUGAAGAAUAGCAAUAUAGAAACAGAGAUUGGACCAAAACCCAAGAGAACAUUGAGUUUUUGACAGAAACCCUGACCUGUUCUUCAAAAGCAGGGUGAUCUCUGACUAACUUGUCCAAGCAAUUGCCCAAGUCCUGACCUAAGAAUGGCAACACCAGCGUGAUCCACUUGCUAUAACUGGACAAGUAUUGCCCUUUGGGCUUAAGGUAAGCACCUCGUGAUGGUGUAUGAAAGGCAUUUGGCAUUUGGCAGCAGCUGAGUCAAUAUUGCAACAUGUUAUUAGAAUGAUUGUGAUAGAAGAAAGACAAACCCAUUUUAAGAACAAAAAACAAGCCUAUUACAGUCAAUGUAGUGAUGUGAAUCAUACAGUGAAGUCAUAUCCCAUAAGCACUUUUAGUGUGUGGCAUGUGAUGUUGUUAAGUACUUGGCACAAUCCCCCACACCGAUCAGAAGUGUGCUCAACAAUAUUUGAUAGCAGAUUGAUCUUAUGAAUAAGCACUUGGGAAUGUGACUUAGUUUAAUAUUUAAUUAUGCUUGUUGAUAAUCAACUUAUACGUUGUUCCUUAAAAGUAGUAAAAGGUGGAGAAUUAUUUUACCAGAGGCAGAUCUUGAGAUGCAAACAAGGUGUGAGCCUCUUUGAUUUGAGCAGCACUCUCAGGAAAUGCCCAUAGGGAAGAGGGGUACCUUGUUUUCACAUGAACAGCUGUACUCAAUGUUCAAAUAGAAAAAUUGUGUUCCUAGUUGGUUCAUGUAAGAAGCAAAGGAACCAGAGCAUGAACUAGCUUGUGCCCAUCACUAGCUGAGUACUGGUCCUACCGAUGUUGGCUGCUUAGUGGUUACUGUCUGCUCUAGCCUCCAGGUUGCCCCUGUCACCAGGAUACUAACAGCAAGAACCCCUUAGCAGGAGUGGUCUCUGUCAUGGUGACACCAGUGGAGAACCAACAAACUUAAAAAGUAGUUAGUCUUGUUUUCUCUACUGUAAAUAUCUGUGUUGCUGUCUAACAUGGAACCUCACCAUGGAAUUCCACCAUCUCUCUCUGUCAACUCAAAGCCAUCCUCUGUAGUAAAGCCUGCUCCAUAGUAAAUAAUCAACAGUC